AGCGAUAUUAAUAGAAUAUCAAUAAAAUCUAUUGAGAAGUGGCCUUGGAGACAUUUGUUAAGUCAUUUGGAAAAAAAACUCACAUGUAUGAGGCUAUCACCGUUCCCCGCCCGUAGCAAAAAAAAACAAAACCAUUUCCCCCCACUCACUUCCAAAAGGAAAACCAUGUGGAAUACAAAAGUACCAUUAUCAUACCCUCCCCCACCACCGACACUCCCCAUUUCACUUCAACCUUUAUUUUCUUAUUACCAAAACUUUAUUAUUCCUUCCAAAACAAAAUUCCCUCUCUUUUAUUUUAACCUUUUUCUCCCACCGCACCUCCCUAAUCAUUUCUCACCCAUCCCCCACCUCUCUCUUUCUCUCGCUCUCUCCAAUUACCACAACUAG